UGCUCUUUGCGCCGUAGAGGGCAGUUUCGCCUUUAAAUUGUGCCAGAAUCAAAGUUGACCCCUGCAUAAACGUUUUGAUUCGGAGGCAAAACGUCUGUGACAUUUCAAAACAAAGGGCCUACAAGCAUCAUCUACCUCUUCAGUCAGUAAAUCAUCUGUGAGAAUAGAGGAACAUAGGAAUUGGUAUAUUGAUCAGACCAGUCUGUCUAAUCCAGUAUCUUGUCUCUGCCAGAGAAAGGUGCAAAAAUCCCUACAAUGGACUGCUAUGGAAUAACCUAUUCAUAGAACUUUCCUCCUAAUCCUCCUAUAACAGUUAGUAGUUGACUUACAAUCUUAAGCAUGAGGUUUUUUUAUCCCCUAUAAUUUUUUUAUCCUAUCUAAAGUAAUUGUGCAUGUUCUCAUUAUUCAUAUAAAUGUCUUAUCCUCUUUUAGAAUAUUACUUAGUUCUUAGGACACAAUCCAACCAGUUCCACUGGUAACUUUAUAUGUUGUGUUAAAAGUGUUUACCAGUUUUAAAUUUGUUGCCUUUCAGUUACUUUUAUUUUUAUUAUGAAUAAGGAUAAAUUGGAGCACCUAAUAAACCUCCUUUGUAUUUUAA